AGUGAACGCUGGCGGCAUGCCUAACACAUGCAAGUCGAACGGCAGCGCGGGCUUCGGCCUGGCGGCGAGUGGCGGACGGGUGAGGAAUGCAUCGGAAUCUGCCCAGUCGUGGGGGAUAACGUAGGAAACUUACGCUAAUACCGCAUACGACCGAGAGGUGAAAGCGGGGGACCUUCGGGCCUCGCGCGAUUGGAUGAGCCGAUGCCGGAUUAGCUAGUUGGCGGGGUAAAGGCCCACCAAGGCGACGAUCCGUAGCUGGUCUGAGAGGAUGAUCAGCCACACUGGGACUGAGACACGGCCCAGACUCCUACGGGAGGCAGCAGUGGGGAAUAUUGGACAAUGGGCGCAAGCCUGAUCCAGCAAUGCCGCGUGGGUGAAGAAGGCCUCGGGUUGUAAAGCCUUUGUACGGAAGAAAGACGCUGGGUUAAUACCCUGGCGGGAUGACGGUACCGUAAGAAUAAGCACCGGCUAACUUCGUGCCAGCAGCCGCGGUAAUACGAAGGGUGCAAGCGUUACUCGGAAUUACUGGGCGUAAAGCGUGCGUAGGCGGUUUGUUAAGUCCGUUGUGAAAGCCCUGGGCUCAACCUGGGAACUGCAGUGGAUACUGGCAGGCUAGAGUGCGGUAGAGGAUGGUGGAAUUCCCGGUGUAGCGGUGAAAAUGCGUAGAGAUCGGGAGGAACAUCGAUGGCGAAGGCAGCCAUCUGGACCAGCACUGACGCUGAGGCACGAAAAGCGUGGGGGAGCAAACAGGAUUAGAUACCCUGGUAG
rnacentral:rRNA from 1 species